ACUUACCUUGGUAUCAGAUUCCAUCUGCAUAUUAAUACAGUUCAAUAGGUACGCAAAUAAUCACAUCACCGAUCGAAGCAUCGAUCAAAUCGACCUAGUCGAUUACAUUUCCACCGGACCAUUUCUAGGUCAUUCAUCCCACACCAAGCAACUUUCUUAAAUUUUAAUAGCUUUAUGGUCACACCCGACCCUUUCCAGUAGUGGCUUUAUGGUCUCACCCGACCCUUUCAAGAUCUAGUGACUUUGCGGUCCCACCCGACCUUUUUAAGAUCUAAUUUAUGAAUGAAUCUUAAGAUUACUCAUAAAUUACUUCAGCACUAAAUAAAGUUCAAAUAAAUAAACAGACUACACCACGACGAUCAGCACAAAAUUCCGGUCAUCGACCAUCUCGGUUGAAUUUCCGGAAAAAUAAAUAAUUAAAUAAUUAAUUUCGAAAAUUAAAUAAAUAAUUAUACAAAAAAUCGAAUUUAGGCCCGUAAUGCCGAAUUGGAUGCCGCGACGAGCCCUAAAAAUUACCGAGACUCGUUCCAUAAAUAACAUGGUAUGCUUACUUGUUAAUGUCUAUUUCUAACCACCUAAUAUGCAUCAUUAAAUCUCUAAUUUAAUUGAUUUAAACUAAUCUAACCACCUAAUUACAUUUAAUUAAAUCUAACCAACCCUAAAUAUAAUUAGCAAACUAAGAAAGUAUUAGUGAGUAAAACUCACUUGGUAAAAGCAAAGACCGAAUCACCGCAACAGCGUCGCGGGCUUUCGACAACACCGGCGGGCUUGGACCGGGCCUUAAGCUUAGGCCCAACAAAUCUCAGCCCAACUGAGAUUUGUUCUUACUUUUGGGCCAGACCCAAGUUGGAUUGGGCCUGCUGCGAAGAUGGGCUUCAAGUUAUGGGCUGGGCUGCAAUUGAUUUGCUGGAAUUGGGCUUGACCAAUUAAUUUACUUGGACUGGACUGGGCUGACUUGCGGCCCAAAUGGGCUGAACAAACUGCAACUGGAAGCGGGCUGUUCGGUGGGCUACAGCUUUGGACCGUUGGGCUCGUGAAUUUGCUGGCCCAACCGUGGGCUUCUGAACUGACGGCUUCAAUUAGGCCUGACUUGCACCGAAUUCCGCUGGGCUGAUGAUGCGUGUCGAUCCACGAGCAAAGAUGGGAGACAACGCGAACGCUGGUCAACGAAGGCUUCGUUCGGUGGGGAUUUGACCAAGAUGGGGGCGUGCUGGCGUGGACGAUGGAGGGAAAAGCAGCGUCGAAGAAGUUGUGCCGUUGAUCUUCAAGCGUUGCUGGUCUUCAAGCUUCGCUGGCGGACGUGUGGAGUGGAGCUGAGGGAAACGAUGGCAAGCUGGCAGCUGGGGUUUUGUUGGAUGCUGUUCGGUCAACAAAUCAAAGGGGCAAAUUGCUGAGUUGACCGGUGUGUUGGCAGCGUGAGGAAGCUCAGUGGACUCCGCGACGAAGACUGGUUUCUCUCGCUGAUCGGUGGCAGUGCACUGGCAGUCAACGAUCGAGAUUAAUCCUGCUGAAGAUUUCGCUAGAUUGAAAAUCCCGUAGACUGGUUUCUCGAUGGAUUUGCUGGCCGAAGAUGGGGAAGUGGAAACCGGCACAUGGACUGGAGGCUCGGUGGAUUGUGGCUUCGCAUGGGGCAGCUUCGGUAAGUCUUCAACGCUGCUGGACUAGACACGAAGCAGUGGAGCUGCACGCGGUCAACAAUCUUGCUGAGAUUGACCAAAAUCUCGGUGGAUUGGUCUUCAAUGCAGCUGGCGGACGAAGGAAAAUUUUCGAAGGAAGCAGCUUGGUCUUCUUCAGUUGCUGUUGGAGGUGUCGCACGAAGAAAAAAGAUGGGAAGGGAAGAGAAGCAGCUCACGGCAGCAAGAUGGAGAGGAUGAGGAAGAGGUGGGGGCCC
rnacentral:lncRNA from 1 species